rnacentral:rRNA from 1 species
AUUGAACGCUGGCGGCAGGCCUAACACAUGCAAGUCGAGCGAGCGGCGGACGGGUGAGUAAUGUAUGGGGACUGCCCGAUGGAGGGGGAUAACUACUGGAAACGGUGGCUAAUACCGCAUACUAUCCGAUAACCCAUAUGGGAUUAGCUGGUAGGUGUGGUAAAGGCUCACCUAGGCGACGAUCCCUAGCUGGUCUGAGAGGAUGAUCAGCCACACGGGUACUGAGACACGGCCCAGACUCCUACGGAGGCAGCAGUGGGGAAUAUUGCACAAUGGGCGCAAGCCUGAUGCAGCCAUGCCGCGUGUAUGAAGAAGGCCUUCGGGUUGUAAAGUACUUUCAGUCGGGAGGCGUUACCGACAGAAGAAGCGCCGGCUAACUCCGUGCCAGCAGCCGCGGUAAUAC